UGGAUUCAAAAAGAACGAGUGGCGAUAAGCCCAUCAUUAUAAAUAGGCCCAAAUAUGGUCCAGCAACUCAAUAGUAAUAAACUGCAUAAAAUAACAAAUUAAUAUUAAUUUUGGAACCAAGAUCCCCAAAUCUCGAAAACCCUAGAGUCUCCAAUUCGACGAGGACGAUGUUGCGUUUGUUGUUGGCUAAGCAGUCUUGUCGUAUCAAGGGGAGGUUGCAGUAUCGUGAAUUUUCAUCCGUGAGUGAGAAAGCUGUGUCGAAAUUUUUUGGAUACUGCGUUGUAGCGGCCUUUGGUGGUGGUGGAUUCGUGCUCGGUGGUGUGACAACAAGCCCCGUCUCAAAGGGGCUUCGGGAAAAUGAAGAGCUUUUCAUUAAAGAUCUCCAAAGUCUGGAAAAAAUGGAGGCCAGUAUGGGCAAGUGGACAGAGGAAAUGAAGUGAUGGUAAUUGGUUGUGUCCAAUUAUUGUAAUAACUACUUUGUGUCUUUAAAUCUUUUUAAUGUUUUGUUAUAUGUGGGCUUAGACUGUGGUUGUGUCUCUAAAUCUUUGUUCAUUUCUGCGUACAUGUCUUC